rnacentral:misc_RNA from 1 species
CCGAGUUUACAACUCCCAACCCCUGUGAACAUACCUAUACGUUGCCUCGGCGGAUCAGGCCCGCGCCCCGUAAAAAGGGACGGCCCGCCCGAGGACCCCUAAACUCUGUUUUUAGUGGAACUUCUGAGUAAAACAAACAAAUAAAUCA